GUUGUAUAGUUAAGUGACUAAGCGUACAAGGUGGAUGCCUUGGCAAUCAGAGGCGAAGAAGGACGUGCUAAUCUGCGAAAAGCUUGGAUGAGUCGAUAAGAGGCGUUUAAUCCAAGAUAUCCGAAUGGGGAAACCCAGUAGAUGAAGAAUCUACUAUCAACAAGUGAAUUCAUAGCUUGUUGAGGCAAACCGGGAGAACUGAAACAUCUAAGUACCCCGAGGAAAAGAAAUCAACCGAGAUUUCGUCAGUAGCGGCGAGCGAAAGCGAAAGAGCCAGUAAGUGAUAGCAAUAUAGUGAGGAGAAUGUGUUGGGAAGCACAAUCAAAGAGGGUGAUAAUCCCGUAUCUAAAAACCAUAUUGUGGUACUAAGCUAACGAGAAGUAGGGCGGGACACGUGAUAUCCUGUUUGAAGAAGGGGGGCCCAUCCUCCAAGGCUAAAUACUCCUGAUUGACCGAUAGUGAACCAGUACUGUGAAGGAAAGGCGAAAAGAACCCCGGUGAGGGGAGUGAAAUAGAACCUGAAACCUUGUACGUACAAGCAGUGGGAGCGAGGGCAACCUUGUGACUGCGUACCUUUUGUAUAAUGGGUCAGCGACUUAUAUUUUGUAGCGAGGUUAACCGAAUAGGGGAGCCGAAGGGAAACCGAGUCUUAACUGGGCGAAUAGUUGCAAGGUAUAGACCCGAAACCCGGUGAUCUAGCCAUGGGCAGGUUGAAGGUUGGGUAACACUAACUGGAGGACCGAACCGACUAAUGUUGAAAAAUUAGCGGAUGACUUGUGGCUGGGGGUGAAAGGCCAAUCAAACCGGGAGAUAGCUGGUUCUCCCCGAAAUCUAUUUAGGUAGAGCCUUGAGGUGACACCUUUGGGGGUAGAGCACUGUUUCGGCUAGGGGGCCAUCCCGGCUUACCAACCCGAUGCAAACUACGAAUACCAAAGAGUGAUACUCAGGAGACACACGGCGGGUGCUAACGUCCGUCGUGGAGAGGGAAACAACCCAGACCGCCAGCUAAGGUCCCCAAGUCUAUAUUAAGUGGGAAACGAAGUGGGAAGGCUUAGACAGCUAGGAUGUUGGCUUAGAAGCAGCCAUCAUUUAAAGAAAGCGUAAUAGCUCACUAGUCGAGUCGGCCUGCGCGGAAGAUGUAACGGGGCUGAAAUAUAGCACCGAAGCUGCGGCAUCAGAAUUUAUUCUGUUGGGUAGGGGAGCGUUGUGUAAGCGGAAGAAGGUUCAUCGAGAGGUGGGCUGGACGUAUCACAAGUGCGAAUGCUGACAUAAGUAACGAUAAAACGGGUGAAAAACCCGUUCGCCGGAAGACCAAGGGUUCCUGUCCAACGUUAAUCGGGGCAGGGUGAGUCGGCUCCUAAGGCGAGGCUGAAAAGCGUAGUCGAUGGGAAACAGGUUAAUAUUCCUGUACUUGGUAAAGCUGCGAUGUGGGGACGGAGUAGGUUAGGUUAUCGCACUGUUGGAUAUGUGCGUUUAAGUUGGUAGGUGGGAAGUUUAGGCAAAUCCGGACUUCCUUAACACAGAGAGAUGAUGACGAGGCUCUACGGAGCUGAAGUAACUGAUACCACACUUCCAGGAAAAGCCACUAAGCGAAAGGCUUUACUAAACCGUACUGAAAACCGACACAGGUGGUCAGGUAGAGAAUACUCAGGCGCUUGAGAGAACUCGGGUGAAGGAACUAGGCAAAAUAGCACCGUAACUUCGGGAGAAGGUGCGCCGGCGUAGAUUGUAAGGGCUAGCCCCUGAAGGUUGAACCGGUCGAAGAUACCAGCUGGCUGCAACUGUUUAUUAAAAACACAGCACUCUGCAAACACGAAAGUGGACGUAUAGGGUGUGAUGCCUGCCCGGUGCUGGAAGGUUAAUUGAUGGUGUCAUCGAAAGAGAAGCACCUGAUCGAAGCCCCAGUAAACGGCGGCCGUAACUAUAACGGUCCUAAGGUAGCGAAAUUCCUUGUCGGGUAAGUUCCGACCUGCACGAAUGGCAUAAUGAUGGCCAGGCUGUCUCCACCCGAGACUCAGUGAAAUUGAAAUCGCCGUGAAGAUGCGGUGUACCCGCGGCUAGACGGAAAGACCCCGUGAACCUUUACUAUAGCUUGACACUGAACAUUGAAUUUUGAUGUGUAGGAUAGGUGGGAGCCUUUGAAGCAGUGACGCCAGUCAUUGUGGAGGCGACCUUGAAAUACCACCCUUUAACGUUUGAUGUUCUAACGAAGAUGACGAAACGUGGUCUCGGACAGUGUCUGGUGGGUAGUUUGACUGGGGCGGUCUCCUCCCAAAGCGUAACGGAGGAGCACGAAGGUUUGCUAAUCACGGUCGGACAUCGUGAGGUUAGUGCAAUGGUAUAAGCAAGCUUAACUGCGAGACAGACAAGUCGAGCAGGUACGAAAGUAGGUCAUAGUGAUCCGGUGGUUCUGAAUGGAAGGGCCAUCGCUCAACGGAUAAAAGGUACUCCGGGGAUAACAGGCUGAUACCGCCCAAGAGUUCAUAUCGACGGCGGUGUUUGGCACCUCGAUGUCGGCUCAUCACAUCCUGGGGCUGAAGUAGGUCCCAAGGGUAUGGCUGUUCGCCAUUUAAAGUGGUACGCGAGCUGGGUUUAGAACGUCGUGAGACAGUUCGGUCCCUAUCUGCCGUGGGCGUAGGAUGAUUGAUUGGGGCUGCUCCUAGUACGAGAGGACCGGAGUGGACGCAUCACUGGUGUUCCGGUUGUGUCGCCAGACGCAUUGCCGGGUAGCUAAAUGCGGAAGAGAUAAGUGCUGAAAGCAUCUAAGCACGAAACUUGCCAAGAGAUGAGUCAUCCCUGACUUUAAGUCAGUAAGGGUUGUUGUAGACUACGACGUAGAUAGGUUGGGUGUGUAAGUGAUGUGAGUCAUUGAGCUAACCAAUACUAAUUGCCCGAGAGGCUUAACUAUACAACGCUCAAG
rnacentral:rRNA from 1 species